UGUCGGACAAAUGCAGCGGCUGCGACUGCACUGACGUCAGCCAGUGCACGUAAGUGUAUCUACAAGAAGGGAAACACACUCGUCAUUCAGACUGAGAAGAUCAGCUAUGUGGACGCCGUUGCUGUGGAUGCCCCGGCAG